AUGAGGAUAACUUUGAGAUAAUUCCAAGCAUGAAAGAUAAUAAAGCCAAAAAGAGGUAACUGAAGGUGCUUGAGUGCGGAUGCAACGUGAGGAUAGAUGGGAAUUCUGAAGUUGAAUAGAAAAGAGACUCCCUAACACAUCACAUAUUCAAACAUGCAUUAAGAUGUCCUUUACAUUCAAUUCCAAGUCACCUCCUAUUCAAUAUUU
rnacentral:lncRNA from 1 species